rnacentral:sRNA from 1 species
UUGACAGCCCUGGAAGAGGAAAGCCUCUCUAUAUCCAGAGAACAGGUAUAGCAUGGCUAGCAGCAGGGCAAGCAUUCUCCAGUCACUGCCCUGCCUGAGUUCUGGAGACACCGUCUUGGUGGGGGAGGGAGGGGCAGUUUCCAUGCCUGACAUGCCCUAUUACUAAA